rnacentral:rRNA from 1 species
GGUUAACGGGGGAUUAGGGUUCAAUUCCGGAGAGGGAGCCUGAGAAACGGCUACCACAUCUAAGGAAGGCAGCAGGCGCGCAAAUUACCCAAUUCUAACAGCAUAAGAGAGGUAGUGACAAGAAAUAACAGUACAAGGCAGUUAAAAUGCUUUGUAAUUGGAAUGAUAGAAAUUUAAAUACUUUUUAAAGUAUCAAUUGGAGGGCAAGUCUGGUGCCAGCAGCCGCGGUAAUUCCAGCUCCAAUAGCGUAUAUUAAAAUUGUUGCAGUUAAAAAGCUCGUAGUUGAAUUUUUGCUAAAAAUAACCGGUCUGCUUUUAUUAAUAAAAGUGGUAUCUUGGUGUGUUUUUAGCAAUAAUGUCCUUUGAAAUGUUUUUUACUUUAUUGUAAGAAGCAAUUUUCAGGAUUUUUACUUUGAGAAAAUUAGAGUGUUUCAAGCAGGCUAACGUUUUGAAUACUGCAGCAUGGAAUAAUAAAAUAGGAUUUUAGUUCUACGUUAUUGGUUUUAAGAAUUAAAUUAAUGAUUGAUAGGAGCAGUUGGGGGCAUUUGUAUUUAACUGUCAGAGGU